rnacentral:rRNA from 1 species
GACGGAGGAUGCAAGCGUUAUCCGGAAUUAUUGGGCGUAAAGCGUCCGCAGGUGGUUGAUCAAGUCUGCUGUCAAAAUGCGAGGCUCAACUUCGUAAAGGCAGUGGAAACUGAUGAACUAGAGCAUGGUAGGGGUAGAGGGAAUUCCCGGUGUAGCGGUGAAAUGCGUAGAUAUCGGGAAGAACACCAGUGGCGAAAGCGCUCUACUGGGCCAUGACUGACACUGAGGGACGAAAGCUAGGGGAGCGAAAGGG